UCCGAGGGUGUCCGAAUGGGGAAACCUGGCCGUCGUUGUGGGCGGUCGCCGCCAGAUGAAUUCAUAGUCUGGUUGGUGGUUACGCGGGGAAGUGAAACAUCUCAGUACCCGUAGGAAGAGAAAACAAUUGUGAUUCCGUUAGUAGUGGCGAGCGAACGCGGAUGAGGCUAAACCGCAUGCGUGUGAUACCUGGCAGGGGUUGCGUGUGUGGUGUUGUGGGGUUUACGUGUGUGCAGUCUGCCAGCUGUGCGCCAAUUGUGGUUGUGGUUAGCGGAAAGUGCGUGGAAUCGCCUGCCGUAGACGGUGAGAGCCCGGUACGUGAAAGCCAUGGUCUGUUGGUUGCGUUUGUCCCCGAGUAGCAGCGGGCUCGUGGAAUCUGCUGUGAAUCUGCCGGGACCACCCGGUAAGCCUGAAUACCUUCUGUGACCGAUAGCGGAUAGUACCGUGAGGGAAUGGUGAAAAGUACCCCGGGAGGGGAGUGAAAUAGUACCUGAAACCGUGUGCUUACAAUCCGUCAGAGCCCU
rnacentral:ncRNA from 1 species